AUUGAACGCUGGCGGCAUGCUUUACACAUGCAAGUCGAACGGUAACAGCACUUCGGUGGCUGACGAGUGGCGAACGGGUGAGUAAUACAUCGGAACGUGCCUAGUAGUGGGGGAUAACUACUCGAAAGAGUAGCUAAUACCGCAUGAGAUCUAAGGAUGAAAGCAGGGGACCUUCGGGCCUUGCGCUACUAGAGCGGCUGAUGGCAGAUUAGGUAGUUGGUGGGAUAAAAGCUUACCAAGCCGACGAUCUGUAGCUGGUCUGAGAGGACGACCAGCCACACUGGGACUGAGACACGGCCCAGACUCCGACGGGAGGCAGCAGUGGGGAAUUUUGGACAAUGGGCGCAAGCCUGAUCCAGCAAUGCCGCGUGCAGGAUGAAGGACUUCGGGUUGUAAACUGCUUUUGUACGGAACGAAAAGCCCUCUUCUAAUACAGGAGGGUCAUGACGGUACCGUAAGAAUAAGCACCGGCUAACUACGUG
rnacentral:rRNA from 1 species